GAGGGUAUAGCUCAGUGGUAAGAGUGCAUGCCUAACAUGCACAGGGUCCUGGGUUUGAUCCCCAGUACCUCCG
rnacentral:tRNA from 1 species